rnacentral:rRNA from 1 species
UAAUACGGGGAGUGCAAGCGUUAUUCGGAAUCACUGGGCGUAAAGGGUGUGUAGACGGUGUAUUAAGUCUGCUGUUAAAUAUCUCGGCCUAACUGAGAAAUCGCGGUAGAAACUGAUAUGCUUGAGGGUGAGAGAGAGAAGUGGAAUUCUCGGAGUAGCGGUAAAAUGCGUAGAUCUCGAGAGGAACACCAAUGGCGAAAGCAGCUUCUUGGCUCACUUCUGACGUUGAGACACGAAAGCGUGGGGAGCAAACAGGAUUAGAUACCCUGGUAGUCCACGCCGUAAACGAUGAUCACUUGAUGUCAGUCUGGCUUAGCUAGAUUGGUGUCGGAGCUAACGCGUUAAGUGAUCCGCCUGGGGACUACGGUCGCAAGACUA